rnacentral:lncRNA from 1 species
UUUGCAUCCCACCUGCCAAAUAAAAAUGCAAUUCAAUAUAUACAGCCUCAUGCAACACACAUUUCUAAAAUAAUCAUACAAUGCAUUACAUGAGCAAAACAUUAAAGCAAUUCAAAUCAACAACACUUAAACAAUCAAAUCCAAAAUACAAAACAUUUAUUAAUUAAUCCAACAACUACCAAAACACUUAAACAAUCCUAAAGUUUUUUCAUUAGAAUCUACAGGUGUCCGAGAUUUCUUUUUAGCAGUUGACUUCGAACUCUUAUCAGGACGAGGCCAAUCACCAUCACCACCGAAUGUCAUCUGUAUACAAGUUUACAUCAAAACAUAUAAAAAUCAAGUCAUUAGUUCAUAUUUCAUGUGACUACACUUACUAUUUUCAAGUUACUAAUACACAUUUCAAGAUAAAACAAUUAAACCAUUUUCAAAUAUCUAAUUGACAUUUUAUUUCACUAUACUUAACCAUUUUCAAAUAACUAGUAGACAUUUCAAGUAACUACUCUUAACCAUUUUCAAAUAACUAAUUCACAUUGCAAGUCACCACACUUAAAAUAUUUUCAAGUCACUAAUACACAUUUCAAAUCAUUACACUUGACUAUUUUCAAUUAACUAAAUCACACUUCAAGUCAAUAUACUUAAUCAUUUUCAAGUGACUAUACUUCAUUAUUUUAAAGUUAUUAGUACACAUUUCAAGUGACUACACUUAACCAUUUUCAAGCAUCAAGUUCACAAUUUUAAGUAACCACACUUAACCAUUUUUAAGUCACAAGUUCACAUUUUCAAGUAACAACACUUAACCCUUUUCAAGUCACUACAAUUAAUAAUUUUCAAAUAACUUAUUCACUAGUACACAUUUCAAGUCACUAAACUCAAAUCAUUUUCAAAUAGCUAAUUAACAUUUCAAGUCACUAUACUUAAGCAUUUUCAAGUAACUACACUUAACCAUUGUCAAAUAACUAGUAGACAUUUCAAGUCACUACACUUAACCAUGUUCAAAUAACUAAUUCACAUUUCAAGUAACUACACUUAACCAUUUUCAAAUAACUAGUAGACAUUUCAAAUCACUAAACUAAACCAUUUUCAAAUAACUAAUUCAUAUUUCACGUCACUACACUUGACCAUUUUCAAAUAAUUAAUUCACAUUUCAAGUCACUACACCAUUUUCAAAUAACUAAUUGACAUUUCAAGUCACUACACUUAAACAUUCAAUUUAAGUUACUAUACUUAACCACUUUCAAGUAACUAAUUCACAUUUCAAAUACCUAAACUUAACCAUUUUCAAGUCACAAGUUUGCAAUUUUAAGUAACUACACUAAACCAUUUUCAAGUCACUACACUUAAUAAUUUUCAAGUAGCUUAUUCACAUUUCAAGUCACUACACCAUUUUCAAAUAACUAAUUGACAUUUCAAAUAAUUACACACAACCAUUUUCAAGUCAUGUACUAGCAUUUCAAGUCACUACACUUAACUAUUUUCAAUUAACUAAUUCACAUUUUUAAGUCACUAUACUUAACUAUUUUCAAAUAACUACACAUAAUCAUUUUCAAGUCACUAGUACACAUUUCAAGUCACUACACUUAAUCAUUUUUAAAUAACUAAUUCACAUUGCAGGCCACUAUAAAUAUCCACUUUUAAGUAACUAAACUUAACCAUUUUAAAGUCACUAGUAUCACAAAUUUUCAAUGUCAAAACAUAAAAGCAACCAAACACAUCUCACUUGGGCCAAACAAACCUACUCGCGACAUAUCAUUGCAAAGCAACUCUCCAUAGUCAAAUUUUUGCAUAGGUUAAAUUAUGUCUCACAGAGCUAGCAUAACAUCUCGAACUAUGCUAAUGGAUUUUUAAAAAAAUUGGUACCUAAACUACGAUAAUAGUUUUAUCCACAUAGAUUUAAGUCUAUGAACACUAAAUACAGCAAACACAUCCAACUUUAAUUUAAAACUGGUAAUAGUUCUUCAUGCCUUUAAGCCUAUGAAAUAUGCUAAUAGUUUUUUAUAAAAACUGGUAACUAAACUAUGCUAAUAGUUUUAUCCAUAUAGAUUUAAGUCUGUAAAUACUACACAGUUUUAAAAACGUCUGUUUUAAAAAAGUCUACACUCACUAAAUACACCAUUCGCAUCCAACUUGGGCCUUACGAAUAACAUAAUGUACUGGCAACGUAUCAUUGCAAAUCAACUUGCCGAUGGGUUCCGCCGUUUGGAGUCAGUUUUCGGCGAAUCCUCAUCGGUUGAGCACCGACUGGAGGUGGCUGCUAGUAGCAUGGCGGCACUUGGAUGGGCGGUGUCGUCGAGAGAAUAAAAGGAGGGAGGCAGUGGUGCGGCGCUCAUUUUUUGUCGGAUCUGGGCGGGUGCGUUGACGGGUGGAGUACGCCUGCGGGUAGGUGAUUGGAGAAGCAACGUGAGGGCUGUGACAUCGACGCUUGACUGAUGAUCGAGAGAAGGUUUAGGGAGAGAGAGAGAUUGUAAAGAGAAAGGGAGAAGGUGCGGCUGGCUGUUUGUGGAAAUGGAUUAGGGUUCCUCUUUUUUGUGUAUAUAAAAGGAAAG